AGAACGAACGCUGGCGGCAUGCCUAAUACAUGCAAGUCGAACGAACACUUCGGUGUUAGUGGCGCACGGGUGCGUAACGCGUGGGAAUCUGCCCUUGGGUUCGGAAUAACAGUUGGAAACGACUGCUAAUACCGGAUGAUAUCGAAAGAUCAAAGAUUUAUCGCCCAGGGAUGAGCCCGCGUAGGAUUAGCUAGUUGGUGAGGUAAAGGCUCACCAAGGCGACGAUCCUUAGCUGGUCUGAGAGGAUGAUCAGCCACACUGGGACUGAGACGCGGCCCAGACUCCUACGGGAGGCAGCAGUAGGGAAUAUUGGACAAUGGGCGCAAGCCUGAUCCAGCAAUGCCGCGUGAGUGAUGAAGGCCUUAGGGUUGUAAAGCUCUUUUACCCGAGAUGAUAAUGACAGUAUCGGGAGAAUAAGCCCCCGGCUAACUCCGUGCCAGCAAGCCGC
rnacentral:rRNA from 1 species